GAUGAACGCUGGCGGCGUGCCUAAUACAUGCAAGUCGAGCGAAUGGAUUAAGAGCUUGCUCUUAUGAAGUUAGCGGCGGACGGGUGAGUAACACGUGGGUAACCUGCCCAUAAGACUGGGUUAACUCCGGGAAACCGGGGCUAAUACCGGAUAACAUUUUGAACCGCAUGGUUCGAAAUUGAAAGGCGGCUUCGGCUGUCACUUAUGGAUGGACCCGCGUCGCAUUAGCUAGUUGGUGAGGUAACGGCUCAACAAGGCAACGAUCCGUAGCCGACCUGAGAGGGUGAUCGGCCACACUGGGACUGAGACACGGCCCAGACUCCUACGGGAGGCAGCAGUAGGGAAUCUUCCGCAAUUGACGAAAGUCUGACGGAGCAACGCCGCGUGAGUGAUGAAGGCUUUCGGGUCGUAAAACUCUGUUGUUAGGGAAGAACAAGUGCUAGUUGAAUAAGCUGACACCUUGACGGUACCUAACCAGAAAGCCACGGCUAACUACGUGCCAGCAGCCGCAGUAA
rnacentral:rRNA from 1 species